rnacentral:rRNA from 1 species
CCUACGGGUGGCAGCAGUGAGGAAUAUUGGUCAAUGGACGCAAGUCUGAACCAGCCAUGCCGCGUGCAGGAAGACGGCCCUAUGAGUUGUAAACUGCUUUUGUACGAGGGUAAACGCAGAUACGCGUAUCUGUCUGAAAGUAUCCUACGAAUAAGGAUCGGCUAACUCCGUGCCAGCAGCCGCGGUAAUACGGAGGAUUCAAGCGUUAUCCGGAUUUAUUGGGUUUAAAGGGUGCGUAGGCGGUCGGGGAAGUUAGAGGUGAAAUCCCGGGGCUCAACGUCGGAAUUGCCUCUGAUACUGUUCGGCUAGAGAGUAGUAGAGGUAGGCGGAAUGUGUGGUGUAGCGGUGAAAUGCUUAGAGAUCAUGCAGAACGCCGAUUGCGAAGGCAGCAUACCAGGCUACAUCUGACGUUGAGGCACGAAAGCGUGGGGAGCGAACAGGAUUAGAUACCCCUGUAGUC